UUAAGUUCAGCGGGUAUUCCUACCUGAUCUGGGGUCAACCUUAGAAGUUGGGGUUUUACGGCAGGGGCUCGCCGCUCUCCGGUGCGAAAUAUCACUACUACGCAGAGGAGGCUACAGCGAGACCGCCAAUUGAUUUGAGGGACGGCUGCGCUGGAAAACCAGCCUCGCCGAUCCCCAACACCAAGUCCACAGGGGACUUG
rnacentral:misc_RNA from 1 species